UGGGGGAAUAUUGCACAAUGGGGGGAAACCCUGAUGCAGCGACGCCGCGUGAGCGAUGAAGUAUUUCGGUAUGUAAAGCUCUAUCAGCAGGAAAGAAAAAAUGACGGUACCUGACUAAGAAGCCCCGGCUAACUACGUGCCAGCAGCCGCGGUAAUACGUAGGGGGCAAGCGUUAUCCGGAUUUACUGGGUGUAAAGGGAGCGCAGGCGGUCCGGCAAGUCUGAUGUGAAAGCCCGGGGCUCAACCCUGGGACUGCAUUGGAAACUGUCGGACUUGAGUGUCGGAGGGGUAAGUGGAAUUCCUAGUGUAGCGGUGAAAUGCGUAGAUAUUAGGAGGAACACCAGUGGCGAAGGCGGCUUACUGGACGACAACUGACGCUGAGGCUCGAAAGCGUGGGAG
rnacentral:rRNA from 1 species